UAAUUUUUAAAAAUAAUCACUUGUUCUUAUCUCCAUGAGGACCUUCAAGGAAUAACUGAGAGAAGAGAAAGAUCCCCUAAAAUGGCAAUGGAGAGCUCUUGAAUAUUUGUGUGCAGAAGGCUGGAGGUCACAGAUGUAUGAUAUACUUAGUAAGUGUUGGGAGAAGAAAGAAGGGAGAUCUAUCAGAAAAGAGGGAACAAGGGAAGGAGGAAACAGGAGAUCUACUCCAUUACGCUAGCAGGCGGAAGAGGACGGAGAACUGCGAUGGGAGGUCAGACGGACCACGCUCAUCAGGGGUUUAUUGCCCAAAAUGAUGUUCAAGACCUCUCACAUCAGCAGAAGAACAAAACGGUGAGUGAAAUUACCCAAUUUCUGCAGAACUCAUAAACAUCCUGAAUGUAGGUCACACUCAUUGCCUGAUGUGCUGUGCAUGUCAUGUUCCAACAAAGCAGCUGCCACGGGUAGCCAAACUCCCGGAAAGCAGCACA